rnacentral:rRNA from 1 species
UAGGGAAUCUUCCACAAUGGGCGCAAGCCUGAUGGAGCAACACCGCGUGAGUGAAGAAGGGUUUCGGCUCGUAAAGCUCUGUUGUUAAAGAAGAACACGUAUGAGAGUAACUGUUCAUACGUUGACGGUAUUUAACCAGAAAGUCACGGCUAACUACGUGCCAGCAGCCGCGGUAAUACGUAGGUGGCAAGCGUUAUCCGGAUUUAUUGGGCGUAAAGAGAGUGCAGGCGGUUUUCUAAGUCUGAUGUGAAAGCCUUCGGCUUAACCGGAGGAGUGCAUCGGAAACUGGAUAACUUGAGUGCAGAAGAGGGUAGUGGAACUCCCCAUGUGUAGCGGUGGAAUGCGAAAAUUAUGGAAGAACACCAGUGGCGAAGGCGGCUACCUGGUCUGCAACUGACGCUGAGACUCGAAAGCAUGGGUAGCGAACAGGAUUAGAUACCCUGGUAGUCCAUGCCGUAAACGAUGAGUGCUAGGUGUUGGAGGGUUUCCGCCCUUCAGUGCCGGAGCUAACGCAUUAAGCACUCCGCCUGGGGAGUACGACCGCAAGGUU